rnacentral:rRNA from 1 species
AGCGAACGCUGGCGGCAGGCCUAACACAUGCAAGUCGAACGAACCUUUCGGGGUUAGUGGCGGACGGGUGAGUAACACGUGGGAACGUGCCUUUAGGUUCGGAAUAACUCAGGGAAACUUGUGCUAAUACCGAAUGUGCUCUUCGGGGGAAAGAUUUAUCGCCUUUAGAGCGGCCCGCGUCUGAUUAGCUAGUUGGUUGAGGUAAUGGCUCACCAAGGCGACGAUCAGUAGCUGGUCUGAGAGGAUGAUCAGCCACAUUGGGACUGAGACACGGACCCAACUCGUACGGGAGGCAGCAGUGGGGAAUCUUGCGGGAUGGGCGAAAGCCUGACGAAGCCGUGCCGGGUGAAUGAUGAAGGUCUUAGGAUUGUAAAAUUCUUUCACCGGAGACGAUAAUGACGGUAACCGGAGAAGAAGCCCCGGCUAACUUCGUG